UACUACGAGGAGUCGUUGGCCAGAGUUACCAAGGGGACAUUGCAGUCGAUGAUGUGAUAUUGGCGGAUGGAAUGUGUCUAAAUCAAACCGAAACCUCAAGCGAUCAGUUAGGAAAUUGCAACUUUGAUUCCCAUUUUUGCUUUUGGAAGCCGGAUACAAAGACAACUUUUCAAUGGUUAAUUGGAAUGUCCACUCCAAGCUUU